rnacentral:lncRNA from 1 species
UCACUGUGUCUCCUAAGGCUGUCUUCUAAACAAGACACACUCUCUCAGAUGCUAAGAGGAUCCCUCUCCUAUGGUAGUUCAGUGACUGUGAUGAUCUUUUGCCUGAGUUGUGGAUGGGUGUGAGGAGCCAUUGCUGAGUUCAGGGGCUCCCGCCCUCGCAUCCCCCCAGAGGAGCCUCCACGCCUGCAAACAGGACCUUGAGUCAAAUAGAAUCCAAGUGUCCAGGACAAACAAGCUGCCUUUCUUAAGUGUCACCGGUAGCCAUGGUGAGGGAGAGCAAACCACUUCCCCCACGCUGCUUCUCAGAACUAUGAGUUCUAGCUAUUGGUCAUGCCGGUGACUCAUCUCUGCAGCCCUUGCCGCCCUCCCUGUCUGUAUGAGUCAGGCCUCUCUAGAUAAACAAAUUGAUAGAAUGGCUCUAUACAAAAAAUGGAAUGUAUUAGAGUGCCUUACAGGUUAGUAUCUGACUAUUCUAACAACGGCUGUCUUCAGAUGGAAAAAUCCCAAAAUCCAGUAGUUUUUCGGACCUUAAGGCUGGACGUCGCAGCUAGUUUGGGGGUUUGACAGAAUCCCAAAGAAGUACACUCCAAUACCAGUGAAGGAAAGGUCUUGCCUAUGAGUGUGAGGACAAGCAGGUAAAGAAUUCCUGCUUCUAUGUCCUUUACAGAGGCUACCAAUAGAUAUGGCCCAGAUUUAAGGUGGAUCUUUCCACCUCAAAAGACAAAAAUUUAGGGUGGAUGUUCCCAUUUCAAAUAAUUCAAUACACAAAAUUACCUCACAGACGUAUUCAGCAGCUUGCUUGGGCUACAGUUAAUUCUAGAUGCAGAUAAUCAAAGUUGAUAACCAAAAAUAGCCAUCAUUCUGUCUGUGGUAGGAAUGGACCUUAUUGAUUCCUGUUUGAAUGUCUGGCCCACAUAGGUGGAGCUAUUAGGAGAUGUAGCCUUGCUGGGAGGAAAUGUGUCACUGCAGGAGUGGGCUUUAAGGUCUCAGAUGCUCAAGCUAGGCCUAGUGUGGCAUUCACCGCUGCUGCUUAAAGGUCAAGAUGUAAAACUCUCAACUCUUUCUCCAGCAACCUAUCUACCUGUCUCUGUCAUGCUUCCCACCAUGACAAUGAUGGGUUAAAUCUCUGAACUGUAAGUCACCCCCUUACAGUGAAAUCUUUUCCUUCAUAAGAGUUGGUCAUGGUCUCUACACAGAAAUAAAAUCCUAACUAAGACACUGUCCUAUGUAUGAUGUAGCUCCCUCCUGGUGAGGUCACACCAUUCGGAACCCCAUUCUAACCUGUGUAUCCACAGGCAGGAGCAUCAGCUGUGCCUGGGCAAGACAAGCCCCUCUCUGAAAUGCUUAAAGAUCUAGCACAGCAAAGGAAGUGCCAACCCUGUAGGAGUUGAAAUCAAGCCAGCACAGAGAGCUGGCAGCCUUCUUCUGACAAGAAUGCAGUGUCUAACAUUGCUAGUUUCGUUCUUUUUAUAGGAGGGGGUGUGUUUAUGUAUGCUCAGGUGCCUAUGAGUGUUUGCACACACGCAUGUGGCGGUCAGAAGUCAUUCCAAAGGAAACGUUUUUGAGAUAGGGACCUAGGGAUGGUCAGUUAGGCUGAACUGGCUGGCCAGUGAGAUCCCACCACGCUAGGGUUGUUCACACAGAAGUUAAGCGGCAGGUCCUUGUGCUUGCUGAACAAGCAGCGCUUUACUCAUGACACCGAGCCAUUUUCCUAGCCACCUUUAUCACUAUUGAUCUGCGGCAAGUCAUAAUAACUAACACUUUUAAUAACUUGCCAUGUCUACUAUAAAUAUUUUCCAAUUUUAAUUUUUUUAUACCAUAAGUUUAUAGAAACAAAGUGCCUGGUUCUCAGAUUAAUGAUCUUUUAAUUGAUGAUAAUUGGGCAUAUUUAUGGAAUACAAUAUAAUGUUUUCAUCAAUUGCAAAAAGAAUCAAACAAGCUAAUUAACACAUCAAUUACCUUACCAACUUAUUUUAACCCCUAUGGCAAGGAUGUUAAAAAAAAAAAUCUAGUCAUCUUUUAGCAAUUUUGAAAUACCAAUGCAUCGUGUAAAUUGUAUUCCCCAGGCCCUGCAAUAUAUUCCUGAAAGUUACUCCUGUCUUCAUAUUGGAAAUGUGUUUCCUUUGAUCAUUAUUUCCCAUUUCUCCAUCCCUCCUCCUCCCCCACACCCUUGGUACUUCCAACUACCCGUUUCUAUGAGGCUACCUUUCAUAGAUUCAGUAUUUGCCUUUCUGUGCCUAGCUUAUUCUAUUUAGCACACCUUCCAGCUUCACAAAUUAUCACAAAUGACAUAUUUAUGGAAUACAAUGUAAUGUUUUUAUCAAUUGCGGAAAGAUUCAAACAGGCUAACUAAAACAUCAAUUAACUUACCAACUUAUUUUUCCCCUGCGGCGAGGAUGCUUUU